rnacentral:rRNA from 2 species
UGGAUUAAGAGCUUGCUCUUAUGAAGUUAGCGGCGGACGGGUGAGUAACACGUGGGUAACCUGCCCAUAAGACUGGGAUAACUCCGGGAAACCGGGGCUAAUACCGGAUAACAUUUUGAACCGCAUGGUUCGAAAUUGAAAGGCGGCUUCGGCUGUCACUUAUGGAUGGACCCGCGUCGCAUUAGCUAGUUGGUGAGGUAACGGCUCACCAAGGCAACGAUGCGUAGCCGACCUGAGAGGGUGAUCGGCCACACUGGGACUGAGACACGGCCCAGACUCCUACGGGAGGCAGCAGUAGGGAAUCUUCCGCAAUGGACGAAAGUCUGACGGAGCAACGCCGCGUGAGUGAUGAAGGCUUUCGGGUCGUAAAACUCUGUUGUUAGGGAAGAACAAGUGCUAGUUGAAUAAGCUGGCACCUUGACGGUACCUAACCAGAAAGCCACGGCUAACUACGUGCCAGCAGCCGCGGUAAUACGUAGGUGGCAAGCGUUAUCCGGAAUUAUUGGGCGUAAAGCGCGCGCAGGUGGUUUCUUAAGUCUGAUGUGAAAGCCCACGGCUCAACCGUGGAGGGUCAUUGGAAACUGGGAGACUUGAGUGCAGAAGAGGAAAGUGGAAUUCCAUGUGUAGCGGUGAAAUGCGUAGAG